UUUUUUUUUUUGUUUUUUUUUUUUUUUUAGUAGAAAUAAGGUUUCACCAUGUUGGUCAGGCUGGUCUCAAACUCCUGACCUCAAAUUAUCCAUCCACCCUGGCCUCCCAAAUUGCUGGGAUUACAAGCGAGAGUCACCAUGCCCGGCUGCAAUGCAGUGUUAGGAAAGACAAAAUCAAGCCAAAGUAUUGUCAUCAAGGUGUUUGAUCUGUUUACCUCUUCUUGAGAAACUGAGAACUAAGAUUACAGGUGAAAAUGUAGGGUGAAGAGGUGGUAUUAAGCUGAGUUCAUUUGUAAUUUGUUAGACUCUGUUGUGCUUUGACUUGGAGGUAUCAUGGGUGAGAGGUGAAAAUUACAUUUCCUUAUGUUUUGUUUUCCUUUUUGUUUUAGAGACAGGGUCUAGGGUCUCUCUUUAACAUCCAGGCUGGAGGGCAGUGGCACAAUCACAGCUUACUGCAGCCUCAACUUCCUGGACUCAAGUGAUUCUCCCACCUCAGUCUCCUGAGUAGCUGGGACAUUUUUAUUAAUUUUUUUAGAGACGGGACCUUAAUAUUUUUUCUAGGAUAGUCCUGAACUCCUGGCUAGAAGCAAUUCUCCUGCCUAGGCCUCCUAAAGUGCUAGGGUUGUAAGUCCUAUUGAAGUGCGACUUUUAGCAAUGGUAAAUUUAAAAAACUGGAAAAAAGUACCAAAUUUAUUUCCUCAAAGGACUAUUCAAGUUGUUUGAAUCAGCCUACUUUUAUACCUCCACCAGGAAUUUGGAGCUACUAUUUUUAUAUGCCAGUUCUAGGGAAUCAUCUGGUUGAAAGAUUGAAAGAAAGCUGAGCUGCCUGGUGUUAGAAUAGUUUAUUCGAACAACGAGUCAAAGAUGCAAGCGUUAAGCCUUUAAGCAUUUACAGUGAUGGGAUAAUCAUAGAUUUUUCUUGUUCUGUUUUCUUCCAUGAAACAGGAGGAUUUCAGGCUGAGGGGAUCCUCUCACUUGAGGGAACCCCAAACAAAAGGCUCCAGCAGUUUUAUGUACUUUGGGGUGAGAGAGGGUCAAUGGAAAGGACUAGGAGUGGAAAAGUACUGGGUACUGAGUUAAAGCAGGAAAAGUGUCUUGAAAAUCCAUCCUCGCACCAUCUUAAGGAGGUAUUGGCAGAGACAUUCUGAAGAGGACAUUGGCCAAAGGCCUCAGAGACCUAGGAGUAACAGUGCCUGGCUAGGAAUAGAAAUAUGCUAAAAGCAUAACCAGCUAGUCCUAGCCGCACAGGCCUUGACUGCAACUUUCUUUAGAUACAGCAGUGCAUUGGCUAUGCACAAGUCUGUUGUGUGGAGAGCAGCUUUUCCCUUGAGACCUGUUAGGUAAAGCCUUUGCAAUUUCUCAUAGCCUGGCCUGAAAAACCAUAUGAAGUUGUUACCUAAGGGCCAGGCUCCCCAACCAGUUUUAUAAUUUAGAAAAUUAAUGGACUGAUUAUAAUUGCUUAGCCCUAUUUCACAAGAUGAUUGAAAGUUUUCUGUGAGAUAUAUAUUUGAUUGUAAGAUCAAAUAAUGUCUAGUAGCUAUUAUUGUUUUUGGAAAGACAUAGUCAUAAUACAAGUGUUCACAAUCAAAUAAAAAGUUAGAACACUUCUUGUUUCACCUACUAAUGAUUUAUUUUAGUUUAAGAGUUAAGAGUCCACAAGAAAGUCAAAUAUAAAUUCAUCAGCCAUUAUCGGACCAAUCCCAGAAGUAUUGAGUACUAUAGAAAUGAAAAUGAUUAUCGGUGAAAUAGAGAGCAAUAGAUUAGAGCAAUUUUAACUUUUCAAUAAACACCCCAAAACCAUAGAAACAUUUAAAUUGUCUGACAAGUUUUUGCGGCGUCUAUAACUGUAAGAUGAAUUUAUUUUCUGAGUAUGUAGCAAUUGAAAAAAAAGUGUGUAUCACUGAAAAUAGUAUGUCAAGCUUUCAACAAAACAGACGAAAUCAUAACUACCUAUUGCCUAUUUUUU
rnacentral:lncRNA from 1 species